rnacentral:rRNA from 1 species
UACGGAGGUGGCAAGCGUUGUUCGGAAUUACUGGGCGUAAAGGGCGCGUAGGCGGCCAUCUAAGUCAGACGUGAAAUCCCCCGGCUUAACCUGGGAACUGCGUCUGAUACUGGACGGCUUGAGUAUGGGAGAGGGAUGUAGAAUUCCAGGUGUAGCGGUGAAAUGCGUAGAUAUCUGGAGGAACACCGGUGGCGAAGGCGGCAUCCUGGACCGGUAUUGACGCUGAGGCGCGAAAGCCAGGGGAGCAAACGGG